GGUUACAGCCAUGGGUGUACCGCUCUUGAACUUCUGGGUCCGAGCAUUGAAGUCCUUGCAGAAAGCCAUGGAGUUGAGUUUGUAUUGACCCAGGGCGGGGCCUACUGGUGGUCCGGGCUUAGCUGCACCCGCAUCGACGGUGAGACGGAUCGUGGCUGAAAUAGGGCGGCGUGUUAAGAUCUCUUUUAGCGUCGCCAUGCUGCAAAAUGUGGCGGCGUAAAUUGGGUUUUGCUGUAGAGUAGGUAGGGGUGUUCAAAAGGUGAGACGGAUCGUGGCUGAGACAGGGCGGCGUGUUAAGAUCUCUUUUAGCGUCGCCAUGCUGCAAAAGGUUGCGGCGUAAAUUGGGGUUUUGCGGUAGAGCAGGGGCUACUGAUGUUAGCUGCGCCGGUGACUGGAGAAUAUAAUUUGUGCAUUCUUAAAAAUCUGGGCCUGAACUUCUGGGCCAUCAUGUCAUGGGCUAUUUCAUUUUGAAGAAUCAACCCAAAUAGCCAGUAAAAAUUGUGUGGGAUAACCAUUUUCUAUAGUGGUGUUUACUUUUUAUCCAGCAUUUUUAAUACUUAGUAAUAGUAGCCACUAAUCUAUUAAAAUAAAUAUGAAAAGACUGUGUUACCUUUCUUCUACCUCUUUU
rnacentral:lncRNA from 1 species